GCGAAAUCCCUGCAUCCUUGAGGAGCGUUCGAAACUGGACCAGAGAAGUUUGGGAGGUGGAUGUCCCUUGGCCUGCCCUGUGUCACCCACGUAGGCUCGCAGGUCCCGGAUGCGCUCAAGCUCCAGGUGCUCUGAGCCUCGCCCUUCUUGUUUGGACCGGCCCAUAGUCUCCUUAAGAGGGGUGUGGGUGUGGCUGCUACUGGGCAAUGUGAGCCAGGAUUCCCCACAGAGGGUUGCCAUGUAACCCACCAUGCCUGUCCUGUCAUGUACAAUCGUGAUGCUGCUACAGGAAAAGCAGAGUUUGCAGCCAACCUAGCCUAUUUCUUCUGGAUUCCAACUAUGUUGAAGACCAGCUCAGCCUUCCAGCCUGGUGGACUGAACAACUAUUGGAUUCUUGAACUUUCCAUCAAGAGACAGCCACUAUUGGACUAACUGGACCACAGCCUGUAUGCCACUCUAAUCACAUGU